AAGACCUUGCACUUUUGGAGCGGCCGAUGUCUGAUUAGCUAGUUGGUGGGGUAAUGGCCUACCAAAGCUUCGAUCAGUAGCUGGUCUGAGAGGACGGCCAGCCACACUGGGACUGAGACACGGCCCAGACUCCUACGGGAGGCAGCAGUGGGGAAUUUUGGACAAUGGGCGCAAGCCUGAUCCAGCCAUGCCGCGUGAGUGAAGAAGGCCUUCGGGUUGUAAAGCUCUUUCGGCCGGGAAGAAAAGGUUGCGACUAAUAAUCGCAAUUCAUGACGGUACCGAAAGAAGAAGCACCGGCUAACUACGUGCCAGCAGCCGCGGUAAUACGUAGGGUGCGAGCGUUAAUCGGAAUUACUGGGCGUAAAGGGUGCGCAGGCGGUUUUGUAAGUCAGAUGUGAAAUCCCCGGGCUUAACCUGGGAACU
rnacentral:rRNA from 1 species